rfam:Stegodyphus mimosarum contig28861, whole genome shotgun sequence.
GCCUUCGUGGCGUAGUGGUCUUCAUGCUCGACGCGUAACCGAGAGGUCCGUGGUUCGAUUCCCGGCGAAGGCG